rnacentral:misc_RNA from 1 species
UCACGUAUCCACGUAUAACCAUUGUGAACCGUACUUUCCCUUUGUCGAGAGUGAGGUAGUGAGACUGUUAACAUAUGAACUAUUUCUUUACUGUGAUUUGUAGUUCGUUCUCAGUUUCCAUGGGAGGAAAAUCUAAUUUUCCUAACAUACUCGUUCACUUCAAAGUGUAUUAAAAUCACAAAUA